UGGGGAAUCUUGGGCAAUGGGGGAAACCCUGACCCAGCGACGCCGCGUGGGGGAUGAAGGCCUUCGGGUCGUAAACCCCUGUUAGGUGGGACGAACGUCCCCUCGCGAAUAGCUAAGGGGACUUGACGGUACCACCAGAGAAAGCUCCGGCUAACUCCGUGCCAGCAGCCGCGGUAAUACGGAGGGGGCAAGCGUUGUUCGGAAUUACUGGGCGUAAAGGGCGCGCAGGCGGCUUGGCAAGUCGAGUGUGAAAUCCCUUGGCUUAACUGAGGAAUGGCGCUCGAAACUACCUCGCUGGAGGACGGGAGAGGGAAGUGGAACUCUCGGUGUAGGGGGUGAAAUCUGUAGAUAUCGAGAGGAACACCGGUGGCGAAGGCGGCUUCCUGGCCCGUACCUGACGCUGAGGCGCGAAAGCGUGGGGGAGCAAACAGGAUUAGAUACCCUGGUAGUCCACGCCCUAAACGAUGGGCACUAGGUGUGGGCGGUAUUAAUCCCGCCUGUGCCGUAGCUAACGCAUUAAGUGCCCCG
rnacentral:rRNA from 1 species